GGUUUGAUCCUGGCUCAGAUUGAACGCUGGCGGGAUGCUUUACACAUGCAAGUCGAACGGCAGCACGGACUUCGGUCUGGUGGCGAGUGGCGAACGGGUGAGCAAUGUAUCGGAACGUGCCUGGCGGGGAUAACUACGCGAAAGCGUAGCUAAUACCGCAUACGCCCUUCGGGAAAGCGGGGGGACCUUCGGGCCUCGCACCAGAGCGGCUGAUAUCGGAUUACGGUUGCGGGGCAACGGCUCACCAAGGCGACGAUCCGUAGCUGGUUUGAGAGGACGACCAGCCACACUGGGACUGAGACACGGCCCAGACUCCUACGGGAGGCAGCAGUGGAAUUUUGACAAUGGGGGAAACCCUGAUCCAGCCAUCCCGCGUGUGCGAUGAAGGCCUUCGUCGUAAAGCACUUUUGGCAGGAAAGAAACGGCACGGGAUAAUACCCCGUGCAACUGACGGUACUCUGCAGAAUAAGCACCGGCUAACUACGUGCCAGCAGCCGCGGUAAUACGUAGGGUGCAAGCGUUAAUCGGAAUUACUGGGCGUAAGCGUGCGCAGGCGGUUCGGAAAGAAAGAUGGAAAUCCCAGUAUUUAACUUUGGAACUGCAUUUUUAACUACCGAGCUAGAGGUCAGAGGGAGGUGGAAUUCCGCGUGUAGCAGUGAAAUGCAGAUAUGCGGAGGAACACCGAUGGCGAAGGCAGCCUCUGGGAUAACACUGACGCUCAUGCACGAAAGCGUGGGGAGCAAACAGGGAUUAGAUACCCUGGUAGUCCACGUCUCUAAACGAUGUCAACUAGCUGUUAAAGCUCGGGCUCGGUAGCGCAGCUAACGCGUGAAGUUGACCGCCUGGGGAGUACGGUCGCAAGAUUAAAACUCAAAGGAAUUGGGACGGGGACCCGCACAAGCGGUGGAUGAUGUGGAUUAAUUCGAUGCAACGCGAAAAACCUUACCUACCCUUGACAUGUCUGGAAUGCCGGAAGAGAUUUGGCAGUGCUCGCAAGAGAACCGAACACAGGUGCUGCAUGGCUGUCGUCAGCUCGUGUCGUGAGAUGUUGGGUUAAGUCCCGCAACGAGCGCAACCCUUGUCAUUAGUUGCUACGAAAGGGCACUCUAAUGAGACUGCCGGUGACAAACCGGAGGAAGGGGAUGACGUCAAGUCCUCAUGGCCCUUAUGGGUAGGGCUUCACACGUCAUACAAUGGUCGGGACAGGUGGUCGCCAACCCGCGAGGGGGAGCCAAUCCCAGAAACCCGAUCGUAGUCCGAUCGCAGUCUGCAACUCGACUGCGUGAAGUCGGAAUCGCUAGUAAUCGCGGAUCAGCAUGUCGCGGUGAAUACGUUCCCGGGUCUUGUACACACCGCCCGUCACACCAUGGGGAGUGGGUUUACCAGAAGUAGUUAGCCUAACCGCAAGGGGGGCGAUUACCACGGUAGGAUUCAUGACUGGGGUGAAGUCGUAACAAGGUAA
rnacentral:rRNA from 1 species